rnacentral:rRNA from 1 species
UAAAGCGCGCGUAGGUGGUUUGUUAAGUUGAAUGUGAAAUCCCCGGGCUCAACCUGGGAACUGCAUCCAAAACUGGCAAGCUAGAGUAUGGUAGAGGGUGGUGGAAUUUCCUGUGUAGCGGUGAAAUGCGUAGAUAUAGGAAGGAACACCAGUGGCGAAGGCGACCACCUGGACUGAUACUGACACUGAGGUGCGAAAGCGUGGGGAGCAAACAGGAUUAGAUACCCUGU